rnacentral:tRNA from 1 species
GCUCCGGUGGUGUAGUGGCUAUUCUGCCGGCCGUCAUGUCCGGCAAGGGGCUGCACAGUCCGGUCAAGCAUUGUGGCCUUUCGAGUCGCAGAUCCCGGGUUCAAAUCCCGGCCGGAGCA